rnacentral:rRNA from 1 species
UACGGAAGGGGCAAGCGUUGUUCGGAAUCAUUGGGCGUAAAGGGCGUGUAGGUGGUUCUGUAUGUCUACCGUGAAAGCGUACGGCUCAACCGUAUUUAGUCGGUAGAAACUGCAGGACUUGAGGCUGGGAGGGGCUGGUGGAAUUCCCCGUGUAGCGGUGAAAUGCGUAGAGAUUGGGGAGAACACUCGUGGCGAAGGCGGCCAGCUAGACCAGUUCUGACACUGAGGCGCGACAGCGUGGGGAGCAAACAGG